AGAGUUUGAUCAUGGCUCAGGACGAACGCUGGCGGCGUGCUUWAUACAUGCAAGUCGAGCGACGAAAGGAGAAGGGGUAACCCUUCUCCCUGAAAGCGGCGAACGGGUGAGUAACACGUGGGUAACGUGCCCUGGACUCCGGGAUAACAACGGGAAACCGUUGCUAAUACCGGAUAACCCUGCAGUUCCGCAUGGGACAGCAGGCAAAGUUUUUUCGGUCCGGGAUCGGCCCGCGGUGUAUCAGCUUGUUGGUGGGGUAACGGCCUACCAAGGCUUUGACGCAUAGCUGGCGUGAGAGCGCGACCAGCCACACUGGGACUGAGACACGGCCCAGACUCCUACGGGAGGCAGCAGUAGGGAAUCUUGCGCAAUGGGCGAAAGCCUGACGCAGCGACGCCGCGUGAGGGAUGAAUGCCUUCGGGUUGUAAACCUCUUUCAGCAGGGACGAAGCCUUCGGGUGACGGUACCUGCAGAAGAAGGUCCGGCCAACUACGUGCCAGCAGCCGCGGUAAUACGUAGGGACCAAGCGUUGUCCGGAUUUAUUGGGCGUAAAGAGCUCGUAGGCGGCUGUUCGCGUCGGAUGUGAAAGCUCAGAGCUCAACUCUGAGAGGCCAUUCGAUACGGGAUAGCUAGAGGUAGGUAGGGGAGAUCGGAAUUCCUGGUGUAGCGGUGAAAUGCGCAGAUAUCAGGAGGAACACCGGUGGCGAAGGCGGAUCUCUGGGCCUUACCUGACGCUGAGGAGCGAAAGCUGGGGGAGCAAACAGGAUUAGAUACCCCAGUAGUCC
rnacentral:rRNA from 1 species